GAUAGGUAUAUUUAAAAUUUUAUUUGAAAAAUAAUGCACCAAUGUGAUCAUUAACUGAGUUGUGUUUGUGGUUGCACUAACUGUCCAUUUUACAGAUACUCAUGAUUCGACUUAGUAACCAAAUCCAUUGGGAGCACUCAAUUGUAAUUUCGUGGUUGGAUCUAAUCCACACAUACUUUCAAGAUGUAUUGUCCCAACCUAUGGAGGGGCAGGAGUUUGUUCUAGAUAAAUAUCUCGAAGGUUCGCUAUUUG
rnacentral:misc_RNA from 1 species